rnacentral:rRNA from 1 species
GACGAACGCUGGCGGCGUGCCUAAUACAUGCAAGUCGAACGAAGUGGCGAACGGGUGAGUAAUACGUGGGUAACCUGCCCUCCUCUUUGGGAUAAGCCUUGGAAACGGGGUCUAAUACCGAAUAAAGGGGGAUGGGCCCGGGGCCUAUCAGCUUGUUGGUGGGGUGAUGGCCUACCAAGGCGGUGACGGGUAGCCGCCCUGAGAGGGUGACCGGCCACAUUGGGACUGAGAUACGGCCCAGACUCCUACGGGAGGCAGCAGUGGGGGAUAUUACACAAUGGGCGAAAGCCAGAUGCAGCGACGCCGCGAGGGGGAUGAAAGCUUUCGGGUUGUAAUCCUCUUACGCUAUCGAACGGGUAGGUAACGAAGAAGCGCCGGCUAACUACGUGCCAGCAGCCGCGGUAAUAC